GGUCGCUUCGCUUACCCGUAUCCGGAGAUUUCUUAAUCCGGCCCUGUGUAUGGAUCCUGCCUCCACUUCACCACUUUCCAGCCUAUUCCACUUCCUGACAAUUCUAUGCCAUCAGUGAAGGCCCUCGACUCAUAUAAUGGCUCCAACAACAUGCUCAAUGGAGAAAACAGGUGUUGUGGCCACAGUGAGGAAGAAUAGUUGAUAACUUAGAUGUGUUAAUGUAGAAGCUGUAACUGACGUCAAGCAAGCUUUCAUGACCACCAGAAGGAAAGUGUGACUCCUGUAACAACCUGUUGAUCACCAAACAAGACUCUGACCCCACGACCUUACCAUUAAAUUACUCUUGACCCUGCAGUAACCUCCCACCCAUCACGAGACCAGAAAAAAGAAUGUGAACCCAAGGAAAAGACAUUAUAUAAAAAAAAAUCCAAUAAAGUAAACUAUAAAAUAUAUAAAAAGUUAUGUUACGUCAGUAAUAAAGGGACACGAUGUUAGCAAGGUGUUGCUGCGACCCAUACAAGAGGACUUACAUCUCAGCCAUCCUCACAGCCAUCGAGGCGGUGGCAUUCGGUACUCUGAACAUUGUUCUCAUAUGUAUGAGCACUUGUGCCAUUGAACCUCCUGAGAAGAUUCCUCUCGCUUUCGAUAAAUUCUGGGCCUGGUAUUUCUACGGUGAGUACUAAUGUGGUUUAUUUUCUC